CCCGUUUGUCCCAAUAAUAGCGUUCUACCUAUUGUGAGUUUUUCAACACUACGAAUAAGCAACUUAUUGUUCUAAUGGUGUGCAAACAUUAAAAAAAUGUAAAUAGACAUAUUAAUGGAAUCACAACACAAGAAUUAAGAUAAAAACACAUGUCUCGAAUCAAAAUUAAAAAUUAAACAAUUUUGUCAUCCAUCCAAUACAUGAAAAUAUUUAGCCUAGCAUAAGAUUGGAAUUAAAUAAAGAAAAGUGGGAGGACAUCACCGAGAAAUUGAUGAAACGUGAUUAAUUUCCAAAUUAUUUGCACAAUUGUUGAAGAAUAAUUGCACAAAAACUCAGCCCGCUUUUCUACGUUUUCCGCUUCAAUUCCAGCGUGUGUUUGCUCUGUAUAUAUAUAAAAAAUCAGCCGCCUUAUGUAAUGUACGAUCAAUCCUCAUGGCAGCCAUUUUGACUCCAAAUACAGCCGUUUUCUGUGAGUUUUCCCCCUUUUAUUCUUCAAAAUCAGUCCCUUUUUCCUUGCCUUCUUUCCCAGCAGCUUUGCCCUUUUUUUAAUCUAUUUCAAACCAAUUCCCAAAGUAGGCUUCCACUUUCUGUGCGUAAAACAUAUAUAACAGCCCGUUACCUUGUUUGACUCCAAAAAGAAUUCAGUUGCUCAUGAAAUUGGCUUCCCGUGUGUAUAUAUAAUUCUUCACCGAGCUACUAUGUUUAAUUCCACAAAGAACUCUAUCUUUUGCCUCCUUUUCUUUGACCUUGCAGCUGCCGUUUUCUAUAAGUUAAUCUCCCCAGUUGUCGUCUCUUUUUGUAUGUAGAAAAAAAAAA
rnacentral:lncRNA from 1 species